rnacentral:lncRNA from 1 species
AGAAGAGGUGAGGAUACUUGGUACGUAUGUCUGCUUCUGCUUCCCAAGUAGCACCCUUAACAGACUGGUUUCGCCAUAGGACUUUGACCAAGGAAACUUCUUUUUUUCUCAGUCUACGGAUCUGGUAAUCUAAAAUCUCAACUGGAAUCUUUUCUUAUGAUAGGGUUUUCUGAAUAUUGGUACUUUCUAGAGGAACCACAAUAGCUGAAUCAUCCAUGCACUUCUUCAACAAGGACACAUGAAAUACUGGAUGAACUGAGGAUAAAUCUGCAGGUAGCUCAAGCUAAUACACCACCUUCCUAAUACGACUCAAAAUAUGGAAGGGACCAACAUAGUGGGGACUAAGAUUCCCUUUCUUACCAAAUCUCU